AAAGCGUUACCACAGAAUAAUAACUUCCGUUCCCCCGAGAUAAUUAAAGCGUUCCCAGUGCUUACGCAUGCGGAUCCACAAGGUGGACAGCUCCACGUGAAACGCACUUCUGUGUGAAAGCAAACCUCUACAAUGCACUGCCGAGGUUUCUCAGUCCAUCUUCUGUAAAUCCUCAUGUUGCUUAUGCAUCAGCAGCACAACCCAGCAUUGAUGCAGGAGGAUCAAGCACUGCACCUGCUCCAAUAGACCAUACUUGCUGGCCAUCGUAAGUGCAAACCAUGUGGUCUUCAAAAGUUGUUAAAUGCUUAUGCUGUAAAUGACUUUGCUGCUAGAAAAACCAGUCGAGCAAGUCUGUAGCAGAUUUUGUCAGAUUGAGGAGGUGAUUGUACAGUUAUUAAGUAAUUCAAGUUAAGGUAGUAGAAAACACCGCCUAGACUUCAUAAGAUCAUCUAAAAAAAAAAAAAA